rnacentral:rRNA from 1 species
UACGGGGGGUGCGAGCGUUGUCCGGAAUCACUGGGCGGAAAGGGCGCGUAGGUGGCUUUGUAAGUUUGCGGUGAAAGCCCGGGGCUCAACCCCGGGUCUGCCGUGGAUACUGCAAGGCUUGAGUACUGUAGAGGCAGGUAGAAUAUCGGGUGUAGCGGUGGAAUGCGUAGAGAUCCGAUAGAAGACCGGUGGCGAAGGCGGUUCUCUGGGCAUUACCUGACGCUGAGGAGCGAAAGUGUGGGGAGCGAACAGG